GACGAUCAACUGACGAAGGUAGUGAGAAUCCGUCUGAAGUAUGAGAUGAUCUUGCAGGUUAUCCGAUUAAGGAGUUAGAGUCGAGACCCACUGUGGAGUUUCCAGUUGGGGACAGAUGGAUCCUUAAAGAUCUUAGGCACGAAGCUGAGUGCCCGUGUAAGAGUUUUGUUACGAGACAGCAACACUGAUACCUACAUAGGAUUCUUUUUUAUUAUUUUGGAAAUAUUACCCCUUUUGUGCUCUAGAUAUUUAAAUUAUAUUUCUUGUGUAUAUAUCACACCGGCGGGCCCAAAUGUAAAUGUAUUAUGUAAUACAAUUUGGGUAUCAAGAUUAUUAGCGUAUUUACAGGUAUGUACAUGUAAGACUUCCGUUGAAAUGCAGGAUUUCCUUGACUC